rnacentral:rRNA from 1 species
GUGUCAGCCGCCGCGGUAAUACGGAGGGAGCGAGCGUUGUUCGGAAUUACUGGGCGUAAAGGGCGCGUAGGCGGCCACGUAAGUCGCGUGUGAAAGGCCGGGGCUCAACCCCGUGUAUGGCAUGCGAUACUGCGUGGCUAGAGAGAGGUAGAGGCGAGCGGAAUUCCCGGUGUAGCGGUGGAAUGCGUAGAUAUCGGGAAGAACACCCGUGGCGAAGGCGGCUCGCUGGGCCUUUUCUGACGCUGAAGCGCGAAAGCGUGGGGAGCAAACAGGAUUAGAUACCCUGGUAGUCCACGCCGUAAACGCUGGGUACUAGGUGUUGGGAGGCUUGGCCCUCUCAGUGUCGUCGCUAACGCAUUAAGUACCCCGCCUGGGGAGUACGGCCGCAAGGCUGAAACUUAAAUGAAUUGACGGGG